rnacentral:rRNA from 1 species
AAAGUUGAAAAGUACUUUGAAGAGAGAGUAAACAGUGCGUGAAACCGCUCAAAGGUAAACGGGUGGAGUUGAACUGCAAACUCCGGGAAUUCAACUGGUGAGUGUGAUGUGAGCUUGGCGCACGGUUGUAUGUUCGGGUCUGCUUAACUGCGGGUUCCUGCCUCUGGUGGGGAUGUGCGUAUCACUUAUCAAGUGUUGUGCGCCCGGGCCGUGUCGGACUAUCUUGCCAGUGCACUUUCUCGGAGUAGUCACCACGACCGGCGUUGCUGUCUUGCUGUUGCGGUUAAACCGGCCUUGUAGGGUCCUCGUGAUCUUGCUUGGUCGGGACGGCAGGUGACCCGUUGUGUACUUUCGUGCGCCUCGGGUGUAAUCGCUGACUGCAUCAGUUUUGUGCGGUACGUCGGAGACGGCGGCUUGUAGUGCGUGCGUGCGUGCCCUGUGCGCUGGCGGCGCUGAGUCUGGUUGUCAUGUUGCUUGUGAAUGCAGGCCUGGCGAUGGCUCGGUGUUGUUCGGUGUGCGGUUGCGUGCGUGGCACAAUAAAGGGCCAACAGUCUGUGGUGUAGUGGUAGACCAUCCACCUGACCCGUC